UGAGGAAUAUUGCGCAAUGGGGGAAACCCUGACGCAGCGACGCCGCGUGAGUGAGGAAGGCCUUCGGGUCGUAAAGCUCUGUCAGAAGGGAAGAAAUGUUAUAUGGUUAAUACCCCUAUAAUUUGACGGUACCUUCAAAGGAAGCACCGGCUAACUCCGUGCCAGCAGCCGCGGUAAUACGGAGGGUGCAAGCGUUGUUCGGAAUCACUGGGCGUAAAGGGCGCGCAGGCGGUUUGGUAAGUCAGAUGUGAAAGCCCAUGGCUCAACCAUGGAAGUGCAUUUGAAACUGCUUGACUUGAGUACUAGAGGGGAAAGUGGAAUUCCCGGUGUAGAGGUGAAAUUCGUAGAUAUCGGGAGGAAUACCGGUGGCGAAGGCGACUUUCUGGCUAGAUACUGACGCUGAGGCGCGAAAGCGUGGGGAGCAAACAGG
rnacentral:rRNA from 1 species